AGCAGCGUGGCUCAGUGGAAAGAGCAUGGGCUUGGGAGUCAGAGGUCAUGGGUUCGAAUCCCAGCUCUGCCG
rnacentral:tRNA from 1 species